CCUACGGGAGGCAGCAGUGAGGAAUAUUGGUCAAUGGGCGGGAGCCUGAACGAGCAAAGUCGCGUGAGGGAAGACGGUCCUAUGGAUUGUAAACCUCUUUAGGCGGGGAGCACUGCCGGGCACGCGUGUCCGGAGGGAGAGUACCCGCAGAAUAAGCAUCGGCUAACUCCGGGACAGCCGCGGCGGUAAUACGGAGGAUCCGAGCGUUGUGCGGAUUUAGUGGGUUUAAAGGGAGCGUAGAUGGGUUGUUAAGUCAGGUGUGAAAGUUUGCGGCUCAACCCUAAAAUUGCAAUUGAUACUGGUAGACUUGAGUACAGUUGGGGUAGGCGGAAUUCGUGGUGUAGCGGUGAAAUGCGUAGAUAUCACGAAGAACUCCGAUGGCGAAGGCAGCUUACUAAACUGCCACUGACGUUGAUGCUCGAAAGUGUGGGUAGCAAACAGGAUUAGAUACCCGUGUAGUC
rnacentral:rRNA from 1 species